rnacentral:rRNA from 1 species
GUCUACAGUCAUGCUACCUGAAUAAGCCCGAUCCCAUCUGAUCUCAGAAGCUAAGCAGGGUCAGGCCUGGUUAGUACUUGGAUGGGAGACCACCUAGGAAGACCGGGUGCUGUAGGCA